AAAAGUGGUCAUUUUGACAUGAUUUGACAUUGUUAUUAUUAUCUUUUUAAAUUAGAUAUAAUAAUUUUCCAAAGUCAAUAUUUUGUUUGCAUGAUGCUCUUUUUAUAUUGAUAUGUAAUGGAUGGCUAAAGUGGAGAAAACUUACUUUAUUUAAGUCAAAUGUGUCUUCCACCAAAUAUUUAAGGUUUGUGUGGCAACCUCUCUUUCUAUUUGUUGCUUCAUCUUUACUGUUUUGAAGUCAAAGAAAGAAAAUGCUAUCUUUAAUACUCUUCAUGCAAAUAGGCUAGACAUGCAUGCUUGAAUACAAUAUUUUCUCUAUUGUUUGUUUAUUUUCUUGUCUUUAUUCUAUUCCACUUGUUAAUGUUAUUUAAAAUGACUAUCGUGAUGAUUAAUUGCAUAUUGUGAAAGUACUUGGCUUAACCAAUUAUUAAAUUGGAAUUAAGUUAAUAUCAUGACAAAUACCAAAAGAAUAAUUUUUAGUCUUACUUGAACAUUAUUCACUAUUCCAAAGUUAAGUAAUGUUGUCAAACAAGUUAUGGAUGGUUGAUGGAUAUGCAUCACCAAUAUUUGUUUAUAUUGAAGGGAUGGUGGAGGAGAGAUGUUGCAACUGCAAAGUCCUUGUCUUUCUCAAUUAGAUAUUAGUUAUUGUCAUAUGUUAACACAUUUUGCACUGCAUUACUUAACAUCCUUUUCCAUUAAUUACAUCUCAUUUUUCUAAAAUAGAGAUCAAAUACUAAGGUAAUUAGACAUACUUAUUUAUGCCUUCAUUUCCUUGCCUUUCUCACUUACUUAUCAAUGGAUUCCCUAACUUCAAAUCCUUCCCACUGCUUGUAGCUCAUUGUCUUGUUCGCAUAGAUAUUAGUAAGUGCCCUAACUUGAUAACCUUCAAAGUGCAUUUAUUAAUAUAAGUUGUUGGCUUUUUUGUUCUUCAUUGAAGUCUCUAUUUGGGACAUUCAUGAUUUGAUAUCUCUUCUAAAAGAAGGCUUGGCUUCAACAUUUUUCCAAUCUCCAAACUCUCACAAUUAAGAACUAUCAUGGUUUGGUAACAUUAUUGUGUUGGAUCUACAACCUUCAAUUACUUACCAAGCUUCAAGUUGAUCACUAUCUAGAAUCGAUAUCAUUGAUAGAAAUGAUACAUUCUCUCAAAAACCUUUAAAGACGCAAAAUCUAUUGUUGUCCACACCUAUUAGAAAGAUAUCAAAAGGAAACAAUUGAAGAUUAACCCAAGAUUGGUUGUCUCACAAAAUGAUAUUUAGUUGAGAUUAGAUUGAUAAAGAAUGUCAUUUUAGGCAUGAAAUUCCAAUCUUUCCUUUCAUUUUUUUAUGGAUUUAUUUAUUUUAAAAUUAUAUAUAAUCCUUUGUUUUCAUUUUGCUUUGGUCAAAUGCUUAGAUCAUUAAGUUUUUAAAGUUUUGUAUCUUUAAAUUACUAACCGCUAAUGAUGUGUAGCAACUUGAUUAUGUCUGUUACUUUCAAUUUUGCAUUCUAAGGGUUUGAGACAUGCCAAGGUUUGAUUUAAUAAUUAUUUUUUCAUGGUUUUUAACUUGAAAUCAUUGUCUAUUCAGGUUCAUUGCCCAGACUUAAAGUAACUGUCAUAAGAAACAAACUUCUAAUAGGCCUAAUGAUUUCUCAUGGCUAAUUCACAUCCAUUAGAUGCUUGAUAAUGAAAACACUUUUGCUCUCUUCUAAUUUCAGGUUUCUCUGCCUUAUAUUUUAUGUUCCAACUUUACACAUUUAUUAAAAUUAUUAGACUAGUUGAAAUUUAUAAUAUAUUUGUAAUAAUUCUAAGAGUUUGGGACAUGCCAAGGUUUGAUUUAAUAAUUAUUUUUUUCAUGGUUUUCAACUUGAAAUCAUUGUCUGUUUAGGUUCAUUGCCCAAACUUAAAGUCAUUGCCAUGAGGAAACAAACUUUUGAUAGGCCUAAUGAUUUCUCAUGGCUAAUUCAUAUCCACUAGAUGCUUGAUAAUGAAAACACUUCUGCUCUCUUCUAAAUUCAGGUUUCUUUGCCAUAUAUUUUAUGUUCCAACUUUACACAUUUGUUAAAAAUUUAUAACAUGCUUGUAAUAAUUCAUUGUUGACUAUUUGCACUCAUUAUGUUACUUGAUAUUUUGUUCUCAUACCAAGCUUAUACUAAAACGAUAAUGUUGAGAAUUGACUAAAUACGAUUCAAUAUUCCCACUAUAAAUGUUCACAAGUUAUGGAAAGUUGAUGCAUAUGGAAAGAGUAAUAUCAAUUUCCUGUUGUCUAUAAUAUGAUUACUUCAUCUCUUUCUUCGUUUAGUGUCAUGCUCAAUAACUUAUAACUUUCCAUUCAAUUUGUUAAGAAAUAUUGUACUCUAUUUGGAGUUAUGAUCUUAUGAUUCCAUAAUAUAGAAAACCUUGAACAUAAAGUAAUGGGUUAAGUUCGUAUAAGUUAUAGUGCACCUUAUCAAAGGGAAAUUCAAAGUCUUUAGUUGAUAAAAAGAAAUGGAGUUUGUAGCUCUUCCUUAUUUGACAAAUACUACAUAUUGAUUUACCUUUUGUCUUAGAUGAUACCAUUAAUAAUUGUUCUAUCUCUUCUAGAAAUUUUAAAUAUUUUACUUACAUCAUUUAUCAUGUUCAUCAUGACACCUAAAUUAGCAUAAAAGGCGGGGUCAAUUUUAUCUUCACUUAUUGUAGCCAAUGCUUAAGGAAUUUCUUUUGUGUGAUGUAAAUAGUCAAACAUGUUUUAACUAUCUUUUGGAAAUGAUUAGUCUUGUUAAAAAUUUGACAAACGAUAAUACCUCCAACUUUUGAGAGUUGUCACUUCUAUCAUUCUAGUUGAUUUGUUUUUCCAUUGAUUGUUGUCACACCAUUUGUUUUUGUUAUUCUAGUUUCCUCAAUCAUUGCCUCAAGAUCUUCUUGCAGGAGUGAAAACUCUUCCUCUCUAAUUAAAAUUAUUAUCAUGAUUUCUUCUACCAUGUUUGCUUAGAAAAACUUGCUCAUGAAUAAUUUGAUUUUUCCUAUCUUCAUCUUCAUUGAUUAGAUUUCCUAAUGUGAUCAUUAGAAUGAAUUAAUUGAAAGAUAGAGAAGGUGGUUUUGCAAGCAUGAAAACCCGAAAAAAGUAGUAUUUUGGUCGAAGUCCUCGAGGGAGUCGAAGCACCUUCUCAACAUUUUGCAUUAGAUUCUAAAUAAGUAGCAAUCAUUUUGAGUCUAACAAGCCUCUCUAAGACUUCCUCUUUCAUAUUCCAAGAAGCUAGGGGGAGAUGAUGGAAUAUGUCAAGAUUCUAAAAUGAAGGAAGAACUUUCAAGCACCCAAACAUAAACUUUCAAGAUUUGUUCAUUAAUCAAAAGAUGAAAUGCUAGCAGUAUACCAAAAAGAGGUUGAUACUAAAGGGGUAUUAUUGAGAAUGAGUUGAGCAUUGUUCAAUUUCUCAAGAUAAAUGUUCAUAAGGAUGAAUUAAUUGGAAGAUAGAUAAGGUGGUUUUGCAAGCAUGAAAACCUGAAAAAACUUGUAUUUCGGUCCAAGUCUUGAAGGGAGUUGAAGCACCUUAUCAAAAUCUUGCAUUUGUUUCUAAAUAGGUAGCAAUCAUUUCGAGUCCAACAAGCCUCUCUAAUUCUCACUCUUUCAUAUUCCAAGAAACCAGGGAACAUCCUGAAGCUACUAAAGCACCAUUACAGUGUACCCACCACAAGUCUAAUGGAGCAUGCUUCUCAACCUUCACAAUUACUUGCCUUACUUAAUGCUUGGCGAGAUGCUUGUGCGUCGCCUGUGGUGAGUACAGUUAUGAUUCCAGAUGGGACAUAUGCCCUAGGGCAAAUAACCAUUGGAGGCCCUUACAAGGCUCCUAUCAAUUUCAAUGUCCAAGGCACUGUGAAGUCCUCGAUGGAUACCAGCAGGUUCAAGGCUGAAGCUGGUUGGAUUGCUUUCCAACAAAUCGACCAGUUCAUAUUGUCUUAUGGUGGAGUUUUUUAUGGCCAAGCAAAACCUGUAUAGGGUAGAAAAUGCCCCAUUUCUGCAUAUUGCAACCAACUUCCCAU